rnacentral:rRNA from 1 species
CAAGACCUUGCGCUGAAGGAGCGGCCGAUGUCUGAUUAGCUUGUUGGUGAGGUAAAGGCUUGCCAAGGCAACGAUCAGUAGUUGGUCUGAGAGGACGGCCAACCACACUGGGAUUGAGACACGGCCCAGACUCCUACGGGAGGCAGCAGUGGGGAAUUUUGGACAAUGGGGGAAACCUUGAUCCAGCCAUGCCGCGUGAGUGAAGAAGGCCUUCGGGUUGUAAAGCUCUUUCAGCCGGAACGAAACGGUCACGGCUAAUACCCGUGACUACUGACGGUACCGGAAGAAGAAGCACCGGCUAACUACGUGCCAGCAGCCGCGGUAAUACGUAGGGUGCAAGCGUUAAUCGGAAUUACUGGGCGUAAAGGGUGCGCAGGCGGCCUUGCAAGUCGGAUGUGAAAGCCCCGGGCUUAACCUGGGAAUU